rnacentral:tRNA from 1 species
GCCCGUCUAGCCCAGUUGGUAGAGCGCAAGGCUCUUAACCCUGUGGUCGUGGGUUCGAGCCGUACGGUGGGCG